GACAGUUUGUCCGAGUGGUUAAGGAGGUGGACUCGAAAUCCACUGGGCUUUGCCCGCGUAGGUUCGAAUCCUGCAGCUGUCG